rnacentral:rRNA from 1 species
GAUGAACGCUGGCGGCGUGCCUAAUACAUGCAAGUCGAGCGAACAGAUAAGGAGCUUGCUCCUUUGACGUUAGCGGCGGACGGGUGAGUAACACGUGGGGAACCUACCUAUAAGACUGGGAUAACUUCGGGAAACCGGAGCUAAUACCGGAUAACAUUUGGAACCGCAUGGUUCUAAAGUGAAAGAUGGUUUUGCUAUCACUUAUAGAUGGACCCGCGCCGUAUUAGCUAGUUGGUAAGGUAACGGCUUACCAAGGCGACGAUAUGUAGCCGACCUGAGAGGGUGAUCGGCCACACUGGAACUGAGACACGGUCCAGACUCCUACGGGAGGCAGCAGUAGGGAAUCUUCCGCAAUGGGCGAAAGCCUGACGGAGCAACGCCGCGUGAGUGAUGAAGGGUUUCGGCUCGUAAAACUCUGUUAUUAGGGAAGAACAAAUGUGUAAGUAACUGUGCACGUCUUGACGGUACCUAAUCAGAAAGCCACGGCUAACUACGUG